rnacentral:rRNA from 1 species
UACGUAGGGUGCAAGCGUUGUCCGGAAUUAUUGGGCGUAAAGAGCUCGUAGGCGGUUUGUCGCGUCGAAUGUGAAAACCCGGGGCUCAACCCCGGGCCUGCAUUCGAUACGGGCAGACUAGAGUUCGGUAGGGGAGUCUGGAAUUCCUGGUGUAGCGGUGAAAUGCGCAGAUAUCAGGAGGAACACCGGUGGCGAAGGCGGGACUCUGGGCCGUAACUGACGCUGAGGAGCGAAAGCGUGGGGAGCGAACAGG